GCCGCCGUAGCUCAGCUGGUAGAGCGCCGGCCUCGUACGGUCUCAUAACCGAGGUUGCCGGGACAGCCGGUGGUCGCGGGUUCAAAUCCCGCCGGCGGCU
rnacentral:tRNA from 1 species